GAUUUUCAAUUAAUCAUUCUGGGAAUACUGUUAUUAUCUCUAAAUCCAGGAUCCCUUUCAAGUCUGAAGAUUACAGAUACUUUCAAACAUGUGACAUUUCAAAAAAUCCAAAAGCCACUUUCAUAGGCCCUGGAUUUCUUUGAGAGUAGAGAAGUUGUGUGCCCACCCUGAAUGAGGGAGGGGAUGGAGAAGUGUGGCUGCUUUGGCAGACUAUCUGCUGGUCCUUGUUUUCAGCCCUAUCUUAAGAGGGAUCUACCACCAAUUCCCAGUGAUUCCCAAUGAAUCUCUGUGAUUCAUUGUCAUUAUUAUUGCUGGAUCUUUAGUUUUUCUAUCUUUACAACCACUUAGCUUUUAUAUUUUG
rnacentral:lncRNA from 10 species